rnacentral:tRNA from 1 species
UAUAGCUCAGUGGCACAGCACCUGCCUGGCAAGCAUGAAGUCCUGAGUUCAAUUCUCAAUA